GACGAACGCUAGCGGCGUGCUUAACACAUGCAAGUCGAACGGAACGGCCUUGCUUUUGUGGGGUGCUCGAGUGGCGAACGGGUGAGUAACACGUGAGUAACCUGCCCUUGACUUUGGGAUAACUUCCGGAAACAGGGGCUCAUACCGGCUAGGAGCUCCUGCUGCAUGGUGGGGGUUGGUAAGUUUCGGCGGUUGGGGAUGGACUGGCGGCUUAUCAGCUGGUUGGUGGGGUAGUGGCUUACCAAGUCUUUGACGGGUAGCCGGCCUGGGAGGGUGACCGGCCACAUGGGGACUAAGGGACGGCCCAGUCGCCUACAGGAGGCAACAGUGGGGAAUAUUACACAAUGGGCGGAAGCCUGAGGCAGCAGCGCCGCGGGCGGGAUGACGGCCUUCGGGUUGUGAACCGCUGUCGCCUGUUACGAAGCGGGAGUGACGGUAAUGGGUAAAGAAGCACCGGCUAACUACGUG
rnacentral:rRNA from 1 species